GGAUGCGAUCAUACCAGCACUAAAGCACCGGAUCCCAUCAGAACUCCGAAGUUAAGCGUGCUUGGGCGAGAGUAGUACUAGGAUGGGUGACCUCCUGGGAAGUCCUCGUGUUGCAUCCCUCCUUUUUGUCUCUCUCUCCCCCCUUUUGACUCGCGCCGCUGCGUCCCUCGUGGACGUGUUGUGUCGCCCCUUGGGCGAGAGCUGGGGAGAAUCGGAUGUAACAUUUUCUGUAGAUGUCCGUGGAUAUAUCAUUUGCCUGAUUCCGAGUCCGUAUGAGAAAGUUACGCCUAUUUUAAGAAAUGACACCCGAAUGACGCCAAAGCAUGUC
rnacentral:rRNA from 3 species